CAAGGAACAAAGGGGCGUGACCAGAGUCCAACAGCGGGAAGCAGUCCUGGCAUAGGGGAAAACAGGCCACCAGGAAAACAGCUGGUGACAACCAAGCAGAGCCGUCGCAACACGGUAGGCGAACCAGGCAAUUGCCUAGGGCCCCGAGCAUGAGAGGGGCCCUAAGAGGGACGGUCAGUUAGCCCCACUGUUCAACUACAGCUGUUUUGGCGCAUUGACACAUUCAGACUCGACUCCCCCCUCGCCCCGCCCCCCACGGGGCCCUAUGACAGCACUGCUGGAAGCAGAGAGGAGCGGCUCGUUCAAAAUAAAGGAGGAAUCACACACACUGCAGGCUGCAAGGAAAGACGGCAAAAGAAAGGAGCAGAGGACAAAACGGGAGAGAGGUGCUGUGCUUAAACACCUGUCUGUGUCCCCUCAUGAAGAUGCCACAGCCUCCACAGAUGAAGGUCAUGUGGAGCCCUGUGAGGAAACUCCAGAGGACGUCCCAGCAGCAGUCCAACACCUGAGAGCCUCCACUCCUUCCUCUGCUCCUCCAGCACCUGACCUGGUAACAGAGGAAGGUUCCAAGGUCUCCAGGUCUCACUGAUGAUCCUGCACUGUGGACAAACUUAAUAAUAACAAUACUAGUCAUCAUAUCUUGUGUUGUCAGUGGUGGAGGAAGUACUGAUGUUUAGUACUUAAGUAAAAGUAGAUGUGCUACAUCAAUGAUCCUACUUAACCAAAGUCUUAAGUACUUACUUUUAAUUUCCAAGAGUUUAAAUUGAGGCAACUGAACUCAAGGAUUGUUUUUUUAACUUAAUUUUUCAUAAAAAAUACAUGAAAAAUUACUUAAGUACAGCAACAAAGUACAAAUACUUAGUUACUUACCACCACUGUGGACAGUCUUCAGAGAG
rnacentral:lncRNA from 1 species